UACAGAGGUCCCAAGCGUUGUUCGGAUUCACUGGGCGUAAAGGGUGCGUAGGUGGCGGGGUAAGUUUGAUGUGAAAUCUCCAAGCUUAACUUGGAAACUGCAUUGAAUACUAUCUCGCUCGAGGUUUGGAGGGGGGACUGGAAUUCUCGGUGUAGCAGUGAAAUGCGUAGAUAUCGAGAGGAACACCAGUGGCGAAGGCGAGUCCCUGGACAACACCUGACACUGAGGCACGAAAGCUAGGGGAGCAAACAGG
rnacentral:rRNA from 1 species